AUUGAACGCUGGCGGCAGGCCUAACACAUGCGAGUCGAGCGGAUGAAGGGAGCUUGCUCCUGGAUUCAGCGGCGGACGGGUGAGUAAUGCCUAGGGAUCUGCCUGGUAGUGGGGGAUAACGUCCGGAAACGGGCGCUAAUACCGCAUACGUCCUGAGGGAGAAAGUGGGGGAUCUUCGGACCUCACGCUAUCAGAUGAGCCUAGGUCGGAUUAGCUAGUUGGUGGGGUAAAGGCCUACCAAGGCGACGAUCCGUAACUGGUCUGAGAGGAUGAUCAGUCACACUGUAACUGAGACACGGUCCAGACUCCUACGGGAGGCAGCAGUGGGGAAUAUUGGACAAUGGGCGAAAGCCUGAUCCAGCCAUGCCGCGUGUGUGAAGAAGGUCUUCGGAUUGUAAAGCACUUUAAGUUGGGAGGAAGGGCAGUAAGUUAAUACCUUGCUGUUUUGACGUUACCAACAGAAUAAGCACCGGCUAACUUCGUG
rnacentral:rRNA from 1 species